ACGGGUGCGUAACGCGUGGGAAUCUGCCCUUGGGUUCGGAAUAACAGUUAGAAAUGACUGCUAAUACCGAAUGAUGUCGUAAGACCAAAGAUUUAUCGCCCAGGGAUGAGCCCGCGUAGGAUUAGCUAGUUGGUGUGGUAAAGGCGCACCAAGGCGACGAUCCUUAGCUGGUCUGAGAGGAUGAUCAGCCACACUGGGACUGAGACACGGCCCAGACUCCUACGGGAGGCAGCAGUGGGGAAUAUUGGACAAUGGGCGAAAGCCUGAUCCAGCAAUGCCGCGUGAGUGAUGAAGGCCUUAGGGUUGUAAAGCUCUUUUACCCGGGAUGAUAAUGACAGUACCGGGAGAAUAAGCUCCGGCUAACUCCGUGCCAGCAGCCGCGGUAAUACGGAGGGAGCUAGCGUUAUUCGGAAUUACUGGGCGUAAAGCGCACGUAGGCGGCUUUGUAAGUUAGAGGUGAAAGCCUGGAGCUCAACUCCAGAACUGCCUUUAAGACUGCAUCGCUUGAAUCCAGGAGAGGUGAGUGGAAUUCCGAGUGUAGAGGUGAAAUUCGUAGA
rnacentral:rRNA from 1 species